AAUUGGGAUAAUGUAUUAUGGUAAUUAAUUCUGUUUUUGCAACAAUGUUAACAUUUUCAGGAUUCCAUCGGGAUUAUUUUAAGAUGCAACAUAUUUUUAUGAUUACAUAAUAGUGUGAGUAUAAUUUGUUUUACUUCCUGGGACAACGAUAUGUCUACUUUCGGUUUAAUUUUAAUUUGAUUCUAAACCAAAAUAAAAUUUUAAAAAAAUUCUUACUUUUUAUUAUUUUUAUUUUUUUUUUAAUUUCUAUAUCUAUACUGUCUGUUACCGUGAUAAAGCAUUGUCAUGUAUCUAAAUAUAUAUAUAUUAUAUAUAUAUAUAUCGCCACAUUUAUAAUUACUUAUUAAUUUCACAAGCAUAUUUGUUUCAUAUUUUUGUCAUCAUUUUACAUCUUAAAUAUGCUUCAAGUAUUUCAUUUUAUAGUAAACAAUAUAGAUAAACGCAUCUGUUUAGUGUACAAACAGUUAUCAAUUAAUUAAAUAGUUUUGUAAAUAAGAACAGUCGUUGCGACCAAUAAAUCAAACCUAAAAUAAUAAUUGAUUUUAAUUACUUUAUUGUUAUUGAUAUCUGUAAUGUUCUGCGCAUUGUUAUAUCUUAAAAUUAAUUACAAGAAACAAAAUGGAACGUCAUAAAAAUUUCCGUAUGAAAUGAUUUUAUUGUAUGCUAUUUUAUCUUUUUAUUGUACUCUUAUUCACUAUAAUGUUGAAUUAUUGAAUGAAAUGCUUUAUUUUAAACUAAUUAAAACAAAAUUAUGCAACCAUUAUCAUACAUUUAUAACUGCAUUGUUAAGUUUAUAUUGUUUGUGAUUUAAUAUGUUUUGCCGGACAUAUUUUUAGGGUUAAACUGAAAUAUUUAUAUCAGAAAACAUUAAAUUUAUUUUCAUAUAUGCAUAAAUAAAUACAAGCAUGUGCUGGUGCUUGUGGUGUGCAUAAUGUAUUUAUUUGGAUCAGCUUUUAUAUUUACUUUGAAAUGCAGGGAUGCACUAGUUAAAUGAAAUUCAAUUAUUAAGAAUACCAGAGUUGAUAAUUCGAAUAAAUUUCAUAUAAUAAUAAAACACUUUCUCCUUGAACGUAAAAUUAUGAGAAAAAAAACCAAAGGGAUAAUUUAUUUGAAAAUUGUCUACCUUCUCACAAUUAUGUGUCUCUUACACACGAACAAAACGUAAAAGAAAUGGCAACCCCCCUUUAUAAUGGAACUUGUUAAAACAUUGGUUCCUUUAUUAAACAGCCAUUCUGCUCCUUUCAUGACACAUUCCCCGUUUCCUUUCUAAAUUCUGUUAGACCUGAGGGGCAGCAGUCUAAUAUUUUAUUCCAUAUGUUCAUUUAUUAUAGAAUUGCUAUUUCUUUUCUAUAUAUUAUUUGUUUUUGUCACAAACUAAAUGCAUUUAUAUGACAAUAUAGAGGUUUAUUUAUAAAUAUCACAAUUUCAAAGAAGACUCCACGGAAUUGCCAUCUAAAACAUUAAAAUAGUUUUUACUGUUUUUUAUGAUUUCGUACGUCAUACGUGAGAAUUCGUAUAUUUUAGUUUCUAAAAAUGCGUAAAUACAAUACCAUAUACAUUUAAGGGUUAUUUGCUUUCCAUAAAUAAAUGCACAAGACAAAUAAAAAGCAAUAGUAGUGCAUUCAAUUAAACACGCGGGUUAAGUUUACUUGAAGCUAUACUCUCUAUUAAUAUUAAUUUUUAAAUUUUAUUUCCAAACAGAUUUCGAUAUUAACUGCCACCAGAGUCAUUUAAUACCCAUAAAAUGCACAAAUCAAUUAUAUAAUAAAAUAAUUUGUUAACGAAGCGUCUAAUGUUUAUUUUACAUUAACGAAAUAUCAAUAUUAUCAAUUCUGUCAGAGAUCAUUUUGCAUGUUUCAUUGUGAAUCGAGUGACAGUGACAAUACUUGUAUACAUCAAUAUCAAACAGAUUAAAAAGAAAUAUGCUUAGGAUUAAUAUAUUCUCCUAAAAAAAUAAAUAUAGAUUCAGACCUUCUAUAUGGAACUGAAAUAGUACCCCUAAAUUAUGUUUCCCCUCUGAUUCAAUAAACCCAAAACGAUCACGAAAAACCUUCUCUUUUAAAAAUUACCAUGUAAUUCAAAGAACAAAAAUAAAUAGUCUAAGAAAACGGAUUUUUUUAGAUUCUAAUUUUCUAUUUGAAGCAAUGAAUCAUUUUUCUUAUUACAAGGUAAUUAGGAAUAAACCCUAAUGUACACUUUUGAAUAAUACAAUAAUCAAACCAAAUAGUAUUAAUGAACAAACCAAAUAUCGUUAAGUUGAUCAAAAACGGAAUGUAUAUAUAAGUUCUUGAACCCGGUAAAGUAAAUACUAAAUUGUACAUGCAUGUAGUGAAAAUCAUGAUGGGUUCCUUGCUUAAAAGUAAUUUAUUCAUGUUAAAUAAAAAACAGAAGAUGACGUAAGAUUUCCUGCAUGAAACAUGCUUUUCUUGAUAAUUGUCGUAAUGCGAAAUUUGUAUUAAAUAAAUUAUUCUUUCUCUGCAAGAAGAAAAUCGCAAUAAAUUACAAUAAUUAUUGUUGCUAGCAAAGGGAAGCUCUUUACAUAGGAGAGGUUGUCAGAGCCCUAACUGCUGUCACUAGAAAAUAUGAUAUAUCUUAGAAAAUAAAAACACAUAACAGACUAUUUAACUUACACAAAUAUCAUUGCACGCAAAAUCUUUGCCAAACGUUUGGUUUUUUUUUUGUAUGGACGUGUGCGAGUGCAGUAUUUUCUUGCGCUUUGAAGGAAGGGGUUUACUUGGUUAUUUCUGACCCUCCGUCCAAUCAAUUGUUUGUCACAUUUUAUGUAUGAACUUAACAAACCAUAGCUUCUUUAUAUACCACGAGCUGAGACCAUGAGAUACGUGUUCGUUCACAUCCAUCGUCCACCAACUUCCUGUUUACCAAAUACUUAAACAUUCUAACACCUUAUGGUGAUGUAAGAAUAGUUUUAAGCAUUUAUCUAAGCAACUACGAAUCAAUUCAGUCGAGCAUAUGUGGCCAUUCUUUAUUACUAGAUACCUUAUGGUGCAUUUUUAAAACCAUCACUCAUCAACUUCCUAUAUGUACCAACAUUGAUGUAAUACAUCUACGGUACCAAAUACCUUAGCAUGUAUAUAUAUAUUAUACAUAUGUUAUAUAUAUAAACGUUUUUGGUACACAGGAAGUCGCUGAAAAUAAACAGGAUUAAAAUUUUGUACUUGCGCCGGACGCGCGUUUCGUCUACAAAAGACUAAUCAGUGACGCUCGAAAAAAAAAAAGACCAAAAGUUCUUAUAAGUUAUACCAAAUACAGCUAAGAUAAUCUAUUCCUGUGAUAGAAAAGCCUUAGUAUUUCAAAAAUUAUCGUUAUAUUAUUGCUGAAUUACCCUGGCAUUACAGUCGUUAUUAUAAAUAUGUCGUGGUAUGCGGUAACUGUUCUGAACUUUUGUAGCAUUAUUUAAGCAUGACAGAAGCUUGAAUUGAUACCAAACUGUACUUUAUCUUGAUAGAUUGGGAUCGUCGCAAAUCUGUUUUAAAUAUAAGAUGUGCUUUCAGACUCUUUUCUAUGCCGUUUGUUAAAAAAAGUUAUAAAGAAAGUAUACGAAGUAGAUAAUACAAAAUCAUAAUCAAAAAGUAAUUAAGUAUUAUCUAUCAUAAACAAUAAGCAGUAUUGUCUUAGCUUGGAUACAUGCUAUAUAUUCCUACUCAGACUUCGUAUUCACUUUAAAAGAGAAAUCUCAACAUUCUAGCAGCUUCAUAUGGACUUUUUUUUAUAACUCACUAAAUGAAAGCCUGAAUCUGAUUUUAAAACUAUAAUUGGAUACGAGUUGUUUUGGAAGUAUACUGGUAUAAAAACUAGUUCACUGCAGUGUAGAGCAACGAAUUUACAAACAUUUCUAUCUUUACAAUCGAGUUCAAUUUCAAUAUAUUGAAGACAAAAGACGGUUAAGAGUUUGUUUAUUAAUAUAAUUAACCAAAUUUUACGUUUUAAUCAACAGGAAUAAAAAGCCGCUUAUCUUUGACCUUUCAUGAGCAGACCUUCUCCGACAUUGGAAAUAGCAUGCAUUAAGUUAUAAUUUUAGAGUAAAGUUGAUAAUUGUUUAUGAGAAGUAUCUACCGGUAUUUCUCGAUAAUCCAGUGAUUGAGUUUCCUUUCUCAAUUUACUAAGAAGAGGGUGGCCGAUAAUAUGAAUAAAGCUAUUAGAUUAAAGUAUUCCUGCAGGUAAUAUGUUAUCCCGUUAAAAUAUUAUACGGACACCAUCAUGAUCAUAAUGAACAAGGGCGUCACACUAAAACCCCUGUAGAAGAAAGAAUUUGUCCUUUGUGCCUCUUAGAAGUAGAAGAUGAAUUUCAUUUCACUUUAAAAUGUACAAAAAUAAAUAUAAUUACGAGACCAACUGUUUUCCAUAAAAUUAGCGAAAUAGUUCCUCUUUUUUUAAUAUGACUAAUGAAGCAAGAUUUAAAUUUUUGUAUACGUGUGUUGAGGCUGAUUAUGUAGAAUUAUUUUAAAUUUAUAACCGACAUGUACAUUUCUAGAAAUGCUUUAUUAAGCACUAAAUAACUUUGUGGUACCACCUCCUCAUAUAAUGUUUAUGAAAUUGGUAUGGUAUAUAUAUAUGUUUGUAUGUUUGUAUAAAAAAUUGUAUGUAAUUGGUAAUCAUCCUGUAUUUUCAAUUUAAACAAUAAAAAUUACUUACUUACUUACUUACUUACUUACUUACUUACUUACUUACUUACUUACUUAAUGAACCUCUUUGUCAUAUACCUGUGACGCAGAUAGCCGUGCAUGUGUUCCUCUUUUCGUAGCCAUGAUCCAAUCCUCUUGUCCUGCUUCUCUCGGUUGUUUGGUUGGGUUUAUGUUGUUUAAUCUUCAGUGUUAUAUAUGUAGUGUUUCGUAAACUACAAGAGUAGUUUGUACCAGAUAUUGAAAAAUGCCUUGUAGCUGGUGACCCUAACAUUAAUAGAUUUUUAGCUUGAGGAAACCAUUAUAUUCAAUACUAGUAUAUGUUUGUGUCGCUUUUCAUUUGUACGGUCACUGAUGACCUGACUUGGCAUUUAAGAUGGCAACCAGAUCGAAAAAAAUCUUCAUUUUAAAUUUAUAAUCAGUUCUUUUAUUUUAAAAGUAAUACGAUGCCUCAGACAAUGAGUGACAUGACCACAGAUUGUAUAUAGAACGAUCCAAACCAAUUUUUUUUUAAACCUUUUUCAGACUAAUUGAGAUUGACGAUAUACAAAAACAUGCCUUUGCUAUCCUUUUGUUUGGAUUUAAUUUCUUCAACAGCAGGAAAAGUUCGAUGUUUUCUGUGUCGUACCUAUAUUUAGAACAACCUUUAUGCAUCCGAGUCCCGUCAAAGUUCUCUUGGUGUCGAACAAAUGACCGUCUAGAGCCUCACGGUUUAAAAAACUCAGACAGACACCUUACAUCGUACAAUUAACACGUUAUUCAAUCUUUGACCUAUCAAAGACGUAUCAAAAACUGGUUGUGAUGUGUUCUUUAAGAUAAACUCUACACUAUCGCUUUAAUCAUUCCUCAAUGUAAUGGAAUAAACGAAUAAAGAUAUCGAAAAUUGGACUGAUAAACGGAAUUCGAUAGUCUGAUUUUUUAUACAUUAUAUGAAGAGACGAUCGUAUGGGUUUUUCAACAUUCUUACGGGUAUUCAUUUCAUUUGUAUAGGUUCAAUUGUUUAAAACAUAUUCGUGAUGUAAAUGUAAAACUGCAGAUAAACCUAAUAAAAGGCCUUUUGAUUUAUGAGCCGUAGCCUUUUUAACUUAGGUAUUUAACGAAGAUACUCCGAUAUUACUUUUUGGAGGACUAUUGUAAAAUCAGGGGAAUGUUUUUGGCGUGGAGCUUAAUUAAUUAAAACAUGGUCGCUAUUUUUGUACUGAUAUUUCAUAAAAAACGUUGGACCUACCGCUCUCUUAAUUUAAACCACCCUCUUGAUCACUGACCGGGAGUAGUAUUUUUACUAACGUUAAUAUAUUAUGUCCUAAUGUAUUAAGAAGUGGACGAUUCAUCAUAGUGACAAACAAGAAAAUAAAGGCAACAUAAGUAUACUACUAUUCAAAAGUCACAAAUCGAUUAAGCAAACACAAAUCCGGGUCACAAACCUUAACCAAGGGAAAAACAGCCAUCAACUACUAGAGGAAAACACCGGAAUAACAAAAAACACUGCACUGCUACAAAAACAGCCAAUUCGAAACCUCACGCUUUUAUUACAAUUUUUAAAACAAUACCGCUAAUAUAACGGGCUAUAACGUUAAAAAUAAAAAGUGUUUUCCGUGUGGUUUUCUCUUUUUGGAACCUUAUAUGUCUUUAUAUAAGUACCAUUCCGUAUAUGCAAAGCACGUUUUACAAACGCCACUAAUUUUACAUUUCCCAUGCAAACGAAACAUGCAACUGAAAAGAUUGCCAACAAUUAGAAAAGAUAAUGUUCUACCUGAAUUCCAUGAGGUCGUAACAUAUGAAUAAGUUCACCAUUAAGUCAAAUAAAACUUUAAAAUUUUAAUGAUACAUAAUAAUGUAAAACAAGGCAGCAAUUACAAAGUUCUUCUCGAAUUAAAUUCCCUAUAAUGACUAGAUUAUCACUGAAAAUUUGUAUAGCUACAAAAAAUAAUUGAUCUUAAAGUUACAAGCUAAUUAAGACAGCAAUAUAGAAUAAGUAAGUUUUUAACGUAUUUAGGAAGGGGUGACUAGGCACUUCAUAGGUAAUAAUACUUUUUUUAACAUGGAUUCCUAAAUGGCACAUGCAAUGUCAAACCAUAGUGAUUCAUUGAAUUUUGUAUUCAUUGAUAAGUAAGGUCUGUGUAUGGAGCCUAAUUUCUGCUUUGAGGAUAUAUAUACUAACCUUGAGCCUGCAUGUUCUUAUACAUGGUAUGUCACGUGAUCAAUGAACAGAUUUUUAAAAAUAUACUAACUAGGAACCAAUGCAUUGCCGAGAGUGAAUUACAUCAUGGAAAAAUCAUGAAAAAAUAUAUAUUCCUUUUAUUAAUAUGUUAUAUUUAGUGAGAGACAGAGAGGAUAUCUUGGUCGUUAAAAAGCCUUCCAGAAUUUGGAUAUCCGAAUUAUAAGUUUAUCCCUGUUUGGGCUUCGAAGCUUUUUUGUUCAUUGCAAAUGGACACAUUGAUAAACAAUACACAUGAAAUGUAAAUCCUGAAAAAAAACUUUACUUCCCAAUGCAUGGUUAAAUGGCUAUGUUAUUAUGGUAGUCAUGUUUUGAUUAAGAAAUCUAUAACAUUAAUAAAUUGAACAAAAUAAUGAGAGAAAAAUAGUGUUAUGAAACUAUGUUUUUUUUAAAUCCUUUUUAUGUAACUCAUAUUUUAUGUUAGAAAAUAUUUGAUAACUAUAUAGUGUUCGCUGAAUGAACCAAAAGUUGUGUUUUACUGGAAAAAAAACUUUCGUGGCAUUGUAACAUAUUGCCAAAUGUUUUUGCUUGACAAGAUCUUUCGUAGCAGUGUAACAUAUUGUCAUUAAGAGACGACUUACUCAAUGAGAACUCACACAACCAUAGUGUUGUAUUUUAUUACAUGAACAUUUAUGUAAUUAAUGAAUAUCUCUGAAUGCUUUUUUUUCUCAACAUUAAAUUCCUGUACCGUUGAAAGUUGCUUGUACAGUGUGUGGACUAGUCGAACCUAUAUUAUCUGAACCAAAGUCUAGUAUGUUCACGUUGUACUUGCAUAACAUAACACCAUAAAAGAUCACGCAAUAUUUUCUAAACAAUUAGAUAAUUACAUGUAAUAUCUAGCAAUUAUGUUUCAUAAAAGACUUCAUUUUUUACAACAUACUUAUGUUUAAGUGCUGUAGUUGCACUUGGAGGGUUCUGCAAAUUUAUUUUAUUUUUUUUAUUUAUUUAUAUUUCAAUUGUUUUAUUUUAUUUAUUUUAUUUAUCUAUUUAUUGGCCCUUAUUUUUUCUGUUUUUAGCCAAACCGAUUGGCCCUUUGUGUCAUGUAGUUUGUUAAAACUACGAAAUGAUACAAAAUGUUGAACUUGGACACAUUUUGGGAAAUUCAACAUGUUCCGUUUCUUAAUUAUCGGUCACAUAGAUAUAUAAAAUAAAAUGGAUACCGAAAAUUAAGAUAUUGUCUAGCUUGUCUGUAUAUAAUUGGCCAAUCAUUGUGUACAAAACUAGUUCAAUUUUUAAGAAGUGUUCGUUAACAAACCGAUAAACUUCUUGUAAUAAAUAUAUAUAUAAUUAUAAUAUUUAUCAUUUGAUUAUAAUAGUAAUAAUUAUAAUAAAUAUAAAUUAAAAUUAUUAAUUUUGAUUUCCAAAUUUAUGCACACACAAAAAAUAUAUAAUUCAAUAUUAUCAUUUGGUUAUUACAAAUUGUGCUGAAUUUGUCUAAUUUUGUGCACAGCGAUUAGCAAAACGAGAAGUCUGAAUGUACAAAACUAAUUUAAUAGCUAUACAUGUAUUAUGAUCCUCAUUGCAUUGUUUUCAAAUAUUUCUUUACUCACAAACAUAAAAUCGAGCAUUUUUAAUAAUGAAUAAAUGCAAGAUUUGAUUCUAGAAGUUUUUUUAAGAAUAUAUUUAUUUCCUGUUCUAUUUCAAUUGUUCUGUUAAUUAAGACAUAUGAUUUAUCCUUUUGUGGAUUGUAUUUAGUAAUGUCACAAGUGUAAUGAGUAUGUUUUCUUAUAUCUAAUAUCAUUGUAUAUACCUUCGUUUCCAAUCCAUAAACUAUAGUCAGAAGUAUUUCUAAAAAAUAUUAUUAUAAUAAUUAUUAUCAUGUAAAUAUAAUAUAAUGAAUUGAAAAAAGAAGUUUAUAAUUAUGACAUAACAAAAUAUACAUUUAUUGACAUUUGGUUUGACUAGGCUUGGUAGGUCGGGUUUUAUUGUUUUCAAAUUAUUAAUAAACGCGAUCAACAUUUCGUAUCCCAACUACCUUUCUCUCUUACCAAAGUUUGCAUAGGAUGGUUAUUUGGCUCAAAAACCUAUCUGACCAAUUGUCCGACGAUUUCUUUUAUUGUUAUGGUGUUGUUAUUUAUUUUCUGUUCUUGUUUCAUAAAUUCCAAUAGGGAACAUAUAUUACAUUAUUGUAGUAAUCAACCAAUUUUCAAGACGUUUCGGCCAUUGGCCUUCUUCAGUUUUUUUAUUUUCUUUUGGAAAAUUGGUUUAUAACUACAAUAAUGUAUUUUCUAUUCGCCAUUUUUUCACAUUAAGAUAAUGAACGAAGGUAUACUAUAAUUGUAUUUUUAUAUUUUAAUAAUAUAAGAUACUUUGCACUUUCCUUCCAUUUUCAUCUUCAAUUUAGAAAAAAAAAUUUCGAAUACAUUUAUAUAAAACCAAGAAAAUAUAAUAUUUUAUGGACAAUAAAUGGUUCGUUUUUUGUUUCUGUUGACAUAUAACUUUUUAGAACAUCGGGUCUAAAAUCUAGUUAAAUGGCAGGCCACCUAAAUAACAUCCCAUUUUAGUUAAUUAAUCUACCGUAAUCGCUUUAAUGACCCACGUCCCUCAACCUCUGACCUUUUCCCCAGUAUGUCUCUGCUUCUUACUAAUAGUGUGCAUUCUUAUGCAAAAUAUAUGCAUAAUGCUACCAAUUAAUCUGUCAAAUCCUAUGAACUAGUCUUUUAUCAAUUGCAAAAUGUCGACUUUCUUACACAUAAGUUCGAAGAUCCAAAUUUAUCAUCUUGGAAACGUCUAUUUCCUUUAUGUUUUUUUCACGGAAAGUUGAAAAGAUGCAUUUGUCAUUUUCAAUUAUUCAUAAAAAGUAUAUGUGUAUAUGACAUUUUUGAUCAUGAUACAAAUUAAUGGAAACCUUCCCUAAGGACUCUGUAAUUUACGAUGCAAUGAACUUCAUCAAUGGCAAAUUGAACCGUAUUAGGGAGUCCGUGUUAUGGCAAUUUUACACAUUUGCCCGUAAUACUUUUCAUGUCGAAAGGCCUAAAUCACAUGUCUCUAUAUUAAAUCGAAUUUCAUCAGAAAAUUGCUAGGCUCUUAUCAAUCAAUUGGUAAAAAAUGAAGAUAAUAAUGUAUAGGAUGGUUGCCAAUGGGCUAUAAUGCAGUUCUAAUUUUGAUCAAUUGUAUGUCGCAUAUUUCUGUUUUGCUCUUCAAAAUGUAAUUAUAAGGCGAAAAUAUUCAUUUUGAGAGAAAGGACGGUAUCAUUUUAUUUUUAAUGUUAAUCAAUUCUGUUUUGACAGAUCCUAUAAAAGCUUUUGUGAUAUCUCGUUAGUUUUUCUAUCGUUUUAUAAUAAAAUUAAUAUUCUGGUUUAAAAGUGUCCUCUUCAGUUUUAUGAAAAUCUUUGAUUUCGAUGUUUAUAUGAGAAGAGAAACGUCAUAGUUUCUACUGUUCAUAUAUAUAAAUAGAGAGUUUAAGGAUGCGGAAAUAAAAAACUAGAAUAUAAAUGAAACUUAACCUGAUCAGCACAAUAAUGUCAUUAUGUACAUAUGAUAUUUCACGUACUAAAUUUAAUUAAUUAAAAUUUAUUUGCAUUUACAUUUAUAGUCUAGAUGUAGUACAUGUAUUAAAUGACAACAAUUGUUAGUAAGUGAAUUGAAUAUUAAUUCAAUUAAGACCCUCUGAUACCAAAAUGGUAAUAUUUUAUUUAACUUUUAAUUAAAUUUGUUCAAAUGUAAAAUCAAAUAUAUUUUAUAUUUAACUUCGGGGAAAUAUUUAGAAUCAGUUAAAAGGAUAAAACAACAUAACAAGUGAUUAUGCAUUACAAAUGAACUCGUAAAAAUGUUGCUGAAUUCAGUUUUAACGUUUAUUCGUCAAUGGAAAGGAGAAUAAAAAAAAGGCUAGACGUAACCACAAUCUGAAUACCAAAUGUAAAUGACCUGACAGUGUGCAUGAUUUUUGGUUAGCCUUCAUUCAUAUUUCAUUGAAACCGCUUCAGGCCAACUUCUGUUAUGUCACAAUUUGAGAUAUUUUACAAUGUUCAUUUCCCCUUUCCUACAAAUAAUGUUUCAUGUUUUCUCGUCACGUGGACAGAGGUUAAACAUCAACAUAAAAGGUUUUGCAUCCAUUUAUUGAUAUAACUAUCAAUAUAAUUUAUUGUUUAUAUACAUGCACUAUGUCAAUGCGUUCUCAUCAAAGAAGAUAUUUGAGGUUUUGGACGUUUAUUUGUUGAUAUUGUUUGACAUUAUUUGAUCCUAAUGUGUGACCCUAUUGUUUCGCUGUUUAAAAAAGUUAUGACGUGUAGGAAGGACUACGAUGUGCAAAAAAACAAAUAAUAACUUUUUGAAAAUUUGAAAAUUUAACUUUUAUGGCAUGAAUCCUGAAAAUAAAAAAAACUCUAUCAAUAUAUUGCGCGUCUGCUAUUCUGGAUUUACUUCAUUAGGCAGCACUCAAACCAAAGUAUGUGAAAGCGAGGCUGAAUAAAGACGUGAGAAACAUAAAAGAUCUAUACGACAAAAAGAAAGUAAAUUUAGAAAACUAUACUAUAGGUUAUCUAAAGUCUUGGGGCAAAAAAGUUUCACCUAUUGUAAAUUCCACUAUUAUUUCAUACAAAUAAACUCAUUAUAGAUACCAGGAUUGAAAUUUUGUAUUUGCGCCAGACGAGCGUUUCGUCUACAAAAGACGCACCAGUGACGCUCGGAUAAAAAAAGUCUAUAACAGCCAAAUAUAUAAGUUGAGGAGCAUUAAAUAUAUGUCAUAAAAACAUAUUUUUCAAAAUAUUAUCAGAAACUAUAAUUUAAAAUUUGUAAUGAUUGUUAUUAUAAACUCAUGAAUGUGUACAGUUUUGUAUGGUUAUUAUAACAAAAACGUUAAGACAUGUCAUUGCUAAGAAAUCAUUAUGUGUAUGCAAAUUUUGAAAUUUAGUGCUAUUAUUUCCUCGUGCAGAAUUUUAUAUUUGUCUUUGAACUAUAAUAUUGAUUUUCCAUGAAAAUGUAAAUCAUAAACAAUUUCAUAAUUAUUUCAAGAAACUGCAUCUACGAGUAGCAUUGGCUAAGGCUUUCAACUUAAAUGUUUUUAAUUUCUUCAACAAAAAUUCGGAACUCAAAAUCUCUACAAUAACAGCUUACAGUAUAUGUCCUAACAUUUAUAAUAUUUCGUGGAAAUACAGUUCUCUUGUGCAGUACUAUACUCAGUCAUCUUACGCUUUAAAUGUCAACAGUGUGUUUAUUAAUUGCAUGAGACAGAUUCAACCAAAGAUCGACGACAAAUGUAAAAGCAAAACUAUAUAUAUAUGGAAAAAAGUAGUCCAGAAUUGAGCCCCAGAAAUCUCAGUCAAAAGAAGGAUGGAAAAUAUGCAGUGUUUUACAGAACAUUAUACAUAAAUUAAAAAAUCAUUUAAAACCUCUCCAAAAACUGAGAUAAACUGGAUGUUAAGUAUAUAUAACCUGUUUAAUAUAUUACACCCUCUAUGUUAUCUACGUGUAUAUGAACGGGAUGAUUUGUCGUGAAUUUCAUUUUUUUAACAUGUGACACUAUGAUGGAACUUAAUAUUUAAUUAAUUAUUUAGUUAAUUAGUAAAUAAUAACUAUAUGCAGACAUUAAUUGUUUUUAAACAUCUCAUCACCAUUCAGGUAUUGUAGUAAAGGAUAUAUUACUCUCUCACUGCUUCAAUGACUUACUUUCCGCAUAAUAAUAAGCCACAAGAGGGAAACGCAUAAACCCUCAUCAGUGGUACCUGACGAUACUCAUCUCUAAUCUCAUCGGGAUCGCAUUGGCUUCUUUGUACUUAAUUUAGGCCGAUUAGAUCUGGUUUUUGAUAAGUUAUAAAAUAAUAUGUAGGUCUUUUUCAAUUUCAUGUCAUCUUGUAAUUAGCACUUUAUAACAGGAACUUACAUGAUCUACUAGUAAUUGACGCUGUGUUUCUAUUUCAUGUUACACACACAAAGCUGAAACUUGUUUUCAUGAACAGUUAUCGUAAAAAAAUGUUCAUGUUCCUUCUUCUAAAAUAUGAGUGCUUAACAUCGAAGUGGUAAAUGCCAAUAUACAAGUCUUUGGUUUGAUUAAUAUAAGUACGACUACAAAUACAAUUCAUGUAAACAAAAAGACAAUCAGCGUCAUAUUUGAACUUGCUUUAGAGACUAUUUACUAUAGGCAUCUAACUUCUUUGAUUCUUUCGUCAAUGUUUAAAGCGGAAAGAAUAGACCAGCGCUUGACUACUUGUUUUUGGCAUACUAUACAAAUAAUUAUGUGGCGGAGCUUGUAGAUACAGGGAUUGGUAUAUGGAAAUACAUGUAUACAACAACUCAGAAACAAAAUAAAUUGAAAUCUGAAUCUUGAUGAAAUGUAUGAGCUUUCUAUGCUAUCACCAGAGGCUUAACAAUCGAUGUAGCCUACCCUUUUGCUAUACCCAAUAUAUUUUUUUUUGUUAGCGUUGGAUCUUAAACAAAUGAUAACAACCAAUCAAAAACUAGGUUAUUACAACAAACAACCCACCAAAAAGACAUACGAACAUGUAAACAAAAGAUAAUAUGUCUUACGACAAUCACCUACUGAAUUUUAAUCAAACAACUUCUGCCACGAGUUGAUGCUUAAAUUACGUUGAUACGUUGUACCCCUAAAACAUGUUCUCUUCUGGAGAAAUCAUAGAAAUAGAUGUAUUCCGAAAGAUACUAUAACAAAAUAUGAUUCAGAAAAACAACACUUAAAAAUGUCUACAGAAGACAUUUUGGACAAUUAAACACUUUACAUACUAUAUUGCAUAUAACCAACGGUCUGUUAUAUUGGUAAUUCGUUAGUUGGUAUUUAUUGACUUGUUAGUUGUUUAAUGUUGAUGUUCUGCUGCCUUACUGACGAUUACCCAUCAACCCUAAAUGUUUGAUAUUCACAUGUAUCCUGCCACGCAUGUUCUUUACUGACAUCUUGCUUCAUAGUCACUGUGGUGUUACCCUUUUGUCUUUGGGAUUCCAUUGUGGGGAUACAUACAUAUCAAGUAUAUAAAAAUAAGAGGAUGCGGUAUGAUUGCCAAUGGGUUAGCCCUCCACUAGAUAUCAAAUGUAAGUCUCUUAUUGUACAGUUGGAAAAUACACAAGUAUUCAUUUUCACAUGGCUUACAUAGUUAGACUCAGUUUGAGGUUCAUAUAAUUUUAACCUUUGUAUAUUUGAUUCUGGGAUUCUGAGAAUGGGUGCAAGUUUUCUAAUUUUGAAUAACGUCAUAAUCUUCAGACGAAGUCUAGAUCAGUAUUACAAUCAAGAUAUGCAUCAACAGAUUUACUGCAAUGCGAUUUGUUGUGGUACUGUCUUUUUGUAUUGUAAUUUCUGCCAUACGAAUUGAUAAAAGCUGCAACAAUUACCGCAUUUUAUUAUUAUACGAAUAUUUAUAUCUGGGUAAUGACUCUUGUAUGGCAGAAGAAGGACUUGCAAAUUGCUUCGGACAUUCAGGACAUUAAAAUUAAUAUAACUCAAAGUGUACUUUGAAUAACUGUCACAUGCUAUAGGAGUCUUCCUAACCAUGUUUCUGUAUAUUGAGAUAUAUGCAUUUUUAAUGCAUAGCAUAUUAUCACAUAAGAAACACAAAUGAACUGUGAAGUUUCACGCAAUGUAUACUCAGUACAUGAUACCAAAAGGCUACUUUUCUACAAAAUAACACAACAGAAACGAACAAUAAGGAAUAGUGAAAACAAUAUUGAAUUACGUAAUACAUUAUGUAAAACAUGAUCAGCCAGGUGAGGAAGCAGUUCCAUUUUUGACGUUAUUUUUCGUCGAAAAUGGGCCGUAUCUCUCUCUUCUCGUAUUUAUUUGUAUUGUAGUCCUGUAUUAUUAUGUUGUCAUUUUAAUGUUAUAUUUAACAAUGCCAUCAAAGUGCGAGGUUUGGCAUGCCACAAUACCAGGUUCAACCCACCAUUUUUUCUUUAAAAAUGUCCUGUACCAAGUCAGGAAAAUGGCCAUUGUUAUACCACAGUUCGUUUCUGUGUGUGUAACAUUUUUACGUUGUGUUUCCGUUGUGUCGUUUGUUUUCUCCUAUAUUUGAGUGUGAAUUCACAUCACUAUAAGACGUGUCACGAUACUUUUCUAUCCCAAAUUCAUGUGUUUGGUUUUGAUGUUAUAUUGGUUAUUCUCAUCGGAUUUUGUUUAAUGCUUAGUCCGUUGCAGUGUGUGUUACAUUUUAAUGUUGUGUCGUUGUUCUCCUCUUAAUAUUUAAUGCGUUUUCCUCAGUUUUAGUUUGUUACCCCGAUUUUGUUUUUUGUCCAUAGAUUUAUGAGUUUUGAACAGCGGUAUACUACUGUUGCCUUUAUUUAUUCAGUAUUACAUAUUCCUUGCUUGAUGCAGACACAUACAUAUUAUGUCAGGGUUUUGAAUAUUUGUUAGCGUCGCCCCUCCCUUGAUCUGGGACAGUAGUGUACCAAGACAACACAGGUUAACUGAAAAAAAAAUGUUUGAAAAGGAUUUUUUCAUCCGAUCGGUACUUAGAACAAACACAAAUUUUAAAAAGGGUGAGAAAAACACAUUUUUACCAAACUUAGAGACUAUUCUUACUACUAGAAAUUAUUAUACCUCCUGACUUAAAUGUAAUUCACUGCAUAACUCCGACAGACUUAGUGUAAAACUCACACGAAAUCUAAGAAAAGCAAGGUAAUGUACAAGAACAAAAUAAAGGUAUCGACAUGAGGUAGGAUGAUAUGUGUUAUUCACUGGAUAGCAAUAUUAUACAUAUUUAGUUAUGCAUAAAAUUGAAGAUAAAAUCUAUGUAAGUAUAGCGAUACAAACUAUUUACAAAGAUUUUACAAUAAUGAACAAUAAGUUUAUAUGACCGUAUCUUCAUGAACGAUUUAUAAGCAACAUCACUGAAUUUAUGAGAAUGUGAUGUCACAUUGUCAUAAGCUUUCUACGAUUAUAAUUAUCUGAUCACCUUAUUUGCACUAACAUGAGCACGACGGGUGUCAAGGGCGGAUCCAGCCAUUUUAAAAAGGGGGGUCCCAACCCAGGACAAAGAGGGGUUCCAACUAUAUGUCCCAAUUCAAAUGCAUUGAUCGGCCACAAAAAGGGGGUUCUAACCCCCGGACCCCCCACCACCCGCCACCCCCUGGAUCCGCCAAUGGGUGCCACAUGUGUAGCAGGAUCUAUUUACCCUUCUGGAGCACUCCUCUUCCCGACUUUUGGCGCGGUGUGUGUGUUGCUCAGACUGUAAUUUUCAACGUUAUGUUUUGUAUUCUGUUCUUUGUCGUUGUGGUUUUGCCAUGGUGUUGUCAGUUUGUCUUCGACUAAUAAGUUUGAACAUAACUUUAGUAUCUUCCACCUCUUGUCUACAUGUACAGCCCAGACUUCCACCUCUUGUCUACAUGUACAGCCCAGACUUCCACCUCUUGUCUACAUGUACAGCCCAGACUUCCACCUCUUGUCUACGUGUACAGCCCAGACUUCCACCUCUUGUCUACAUGUACAGCCCAGACUUCCACCUCUUGUCUACAUGUACAGCCCAGACUUCCACCUCUUGUCUACUUGUACAGCCCAGACUUCCACUCUUGUCUACAUGUACAGACCCAGACUGUACAGCCAGACUUCCACCUCUUGUCUACGUGUACAGCCCAGACUUCCACCUCUUGUCUACAUGUACAGCCCAGACUUCCAACAACUCUUCGGAAAUAAGAGAAAAAAUAUUAGAAAUCCUAAACUUUAUAAUUUUGCAGUUGUGCCCAGGUUACGUAAACUGAAAUUAAAGAAUCUUCAAUAAAGAGACAUUGUAUGUCGAAAUGCGCAUAUUGCACAAUAACAGUGGUAGCGGUAGCGUUUAAUGUUAUUACUGUCAGUGGGUCAAUGUAUUUGCUAAUGGACUGUUUGUCUCAAUUAGUCACUAUUGAAAUUUGUUGUUAAAGCUUUGAUAAAACUCAAAAAUCAUUUUAAAUUUAGGAAUAUUUAUGCAUUAUGAAUAACUCUUGAUCAUUAGUUGGUCUUUUUGAAAGUCAUCUUUAACGGUUUAGAAUUUUUUUGAUCAACAUAAACUCCUUCAAGUAAGAUAUUUUGUGUUGUACACAAAACUAAGCUGAGAUGGGUAUAUAUUUUCAGAUUAUAUGCAAUCGAUAACACACUGUCAUCUUUUAAACGAGUAUAUAGACGAGGGUUUGUCGUUGCUUUUGUCUGACACAAUUGUGCUUCGUAUUUUGUUUUUAUAUAGGAAAAAAUACAUCAAAGAAGCUGGGUAUCCACAUAUGAAGGAUACGGUGACCGAUGUCUUAAAUCUUAUAUAAAAUAAAGUAAUAAUUUUGAAAUAAUCAAAAUUGUAAAAAUUUAGUUGUUAAUAUUUAGGUUAACAGUAAUGAACAAUCUGAAGUUUGUGUUGUAUUAUCUGUUUUCAUACAUGUACGUGUAUAGCUAUUACUUCUGAGAAGAAGUCGAGUUCGUAAAUGAUCAGUCAUUGUUAUUCGUAAAACUCAUAAAUUGUUAAGCUGAAAUAUAUAUUUUGUCGUUCCACUGAAAAUAAUGGUGCAAAAUUUGUCUCUUUGAAGUUAAGGUUUUACGAGUUACAUAAUGUUUUGUGAAGUGAUAUACAUGUCUACACUGUAUGCAAAUGCAGGGACCUUUGACCUAUUAAACGGUAAUUAAAUCAAUUCUGUUUAUUUAUUACGAACUAUGGAUUAUAUCACCAUUAAAUAAUUACAGGGCCAUGCUAGAACGAAAGAAAGGGAGUGUUAAGGUUAUACAUGCACGAAUAGACUAAAUGCUGCAGGAAACAAGACCAAAUAAGGUACAAGCUAAUACAAGAAUGCUCGCAGGAAACAAGACAAAAUAGGGGAUAAGCUAAUACAAGAAUGCUCACAGGAAACAAGACAAAAUAGGGGAUAAGCUAAUACAAGAGCGAAUAGAUAGAAUGCUCACAGGAAAAAAGACAAAAUAGGGGAUAAGCUAAUACAAGAAUGCUCGCAGGAAACAAGACAAAAUAGGGGACAAGCUAAUACAAGAAUGCUCACAGGAAACAAGACAAAAUAGGGGAUAAGCUAAUAUAAGAGCGAAUAGAUAGAAUGCUCGCAGGAAAAAGACAAAAUAGGGGAUAAGCUAAUACAAGAACGAAUAGACUUAACAAGACAAAUAUGGGAUACGCUAAUACAAGAACGAGUAGACCGAAUGCUGGAUGAAAGAAUACAAAUUAGGGGAUAUCAUACAAGAACGAAACGAUCGAAUGCUUGAGGAAACAAGACAAAGGUUAAACAAAAACAAAUAGACUGAAUGCUAUAGGGAACAAGACACAGAGGGGGAUACGGUCAGAAUACAUCAAGUAUACUUGUAGAAAAAUUGCGAAUAUAUACUAUGAAUCCCUGGCUGCUCACUGAGAGAAACUAAUGAUGUGUAUGUUCAUUCUUCCUGUAAAGUAGAAUGAAAACAUUGGCAAAGC
rnacentral:lncRNA from 1 species